CUUGACGAGAGCUGGGCAGCAUUGUUUACUGUGCUCACACUAUCCUAAACUUGUCGUGUUGUUUGCGCCUUCGAAGGCAUCGUCUAUACUUCGAGUGAUCCGAGAAGAUGAAUGUGCAUCUUCUAACAUACCUGGUCGACGGAACUCUUCCAACUACUCAAGUAAGGUUCGACGAAUGGUGAGUGAUUUCAUUGUUAAAGAUAAAAGACCCCCCAAUAAAAUAUAUGCGCCUGGUCAUCAAGUCAAAGGAGAAGCAGACUAUCCUCAUGGAGUGUCACAAUAACUCUGGUACUGGGAACUAGAGCGGCGUCGAGGGCACCCGCAACA